GUGUAUGUGCCAUCGCAGCUGAUAAAAAGGGAGGCUCCCGGAUGGUGUUGGUGUAUAAAAAGAGCCUCAAAAACUGGUAACCACAGUCAUCCUGGUGUUAAAUCCAAGAGUCUCAGACACUCUUUUUGAGACGUUUCCUUGGUUUUCUUUCCUCAAACUCCAACAGGAUGAAAGUGGAUCUACUUCCCCUUACCUUAUGCCUCCUCUGUACAGUCAUGCUGUGCAGAGGGGAGUCCACGACUACAACCUCGCAACCUACUACAACCUCGGCUACACCUCCUACAGCCACGACACCUAAGCCAGGCUCAACGACACCUAAACCAGGAUCAACGACACCUGAGCCAGGAUCAA